ACUGGGCCUAUCAUCUUCUUAGCUAUCACAAGGCACUUUCUCCAUUCCCAGCUUUGGUUCAUUCUGUAUCACUUAUCUUUGAUGGCUCCGUUACAAGCAACAAGAAAUCUGUUGCACAUCUGCAGAUUUGGAGGCAUUUUAGUCAAGUCCCUAAAGCAGAAGAGAACCUAGACCUUAAUGCCUUUGAACAAGCUGCAGUUUUUAAUACAGGAAUCAAGAUGAUGAGAAAAAAACCGUCAGUAAGAUCCCACCAACGAUGUAAAGAACAGAUCCAGCCCAGCCUAAGUACAGAGCAUCUCCUAGUUCAUACCUGAAACGUGAAAGAUUUUAUGGAAACAGCAUGUCACAGGAUCACAAAGCCAUUAUUUUAGACCAAGACACAAGGUGCACAAGUCAUGCAAAUAAACAAAUUCUAGUCUUUGUAGAAAUCAGCUAACUGAUCAGAGAGGAGAAAAGAUCUGGCUUUGUAUCUCUUCAGUAAAGCUCUUCUAUGUAUAUUUGUUCUGCCAAAUUAGUGACAGUACAGAAAGUACCAAGCAAUAAAAAGAUAAGCAGCAAUAAAUACUUGCAUACAUUUAACAAAUUGUUGAUAAUAAAUUACAAUAAAUGAUAACUGCUUCUGUGCAGUCCACAACAGUUAUUUUGCCCUUGUGUUAGUUGUGACACUGAAGUCAUUUUCUGAAACUGAAUGACUGGACCUUGCUGCCUGUGUCAUGAGAAAAGGCUAACCAUAGAAACUAGAUUUCUAUGGACAUGACCCUAGAUCACCUACCAGCAGCUACUUGUAUAGGGCUACUUUUCCAACUUAUGUAUCCUAAAGAAUAUUCAGAAGUCUCUGUAGUUCUAUGGCUGAAAUACAUUUAUGAACAGUUCCAGGUUGGAAAAGAAUAGUUCUGCAUUUUACUGUACAACUAGUGUUGUACCCCUUGCAGGAAACCCCCUAGUCCAGUCCAAGGAAUUCACUGAUAAUGAAUUCGACCCAAAGACUAGACACAAUUGAGCCUGGGAAAUCGUGGCAGGAAUUUUGCAAAAAGAGGAAAACAAGUUCCUAUAUUCAGACAAAGACUAUAUCCACAAUACAGCUGUAUCUCUGUGGUCUGAGAAACCAAAUGUGAGGGCAAAAUAAGUGUCAUGGAUUGUGUAGAAGGUGUGCUGAAACCAGACACAUGUGGUUUCUUUCCACUUGUAAACACAAAAUCAUUAUUUAAAAGUGUCCAAAUAUCUGACUCCAGAAUUAAUUGCUAACAGGAAGGUUUCAGAGGUUUAUACAGGUUCACUGCCCUCUGUGUUCUCAUCGCACAGUGGAGCUGCAAGGUCUCCACUGUUUUAGGCACUUUCCAAACACAGAAUAAGGAAACAAUUGAUAUCUCAAAAAAAAACCCCCAAAAAAGCAAAAAACACUGGAGUACAAGCUGCUGGAGGAAUACUAAGGAACAAUCAGAGUGCUGCCCAGUGCCUGCAGAGGUCUCUGCUCCCUAGUCACCUAUAGAUAGGAAUGCCAUAGGCAUUGUACCAAAGGAAAGUAUAGGGAUCUGCAGGAGAACUUAGGUUGGCUUCACAGCUGUAUAAGAAAUUCCUCUAAAAAUUAAUAGUAGUUAACAUACUAUUUUGCUGAAAUCAGGCCAAAAAAACCCCACAAACCACCUCCUCCUCACUCAGACUUGCCAGUCUCUUAAGAGUGAAGAUCAAUACUGCCUGCAAUUGAAUUUAGACCUAUCUCACGGAGUCCAAGGAGCACAGGCUUCCGCAAGAGCAUGUCUGGCUUCACCAAUGACCCAAAGUUAAUUCAUUAAGAACUGCUUAGUGAAUCAAUAGUCUUAACCAGGAAGCUCAGAUAUUAAAAAAAUAAAAAAUUCUUUAGCUACUGAAUCCAAACCAUCUGGUAACUGAUUAACAUGCAUUGAUGUCGAAGCCCCAAAGCUAUACCAGAUAAUUAUACAACUCCCUAACUAUCCCACUAACUGAAAUUCCUUAUCAACGGUAGUUUCGGCCCUCUAACAUAUUUAUUACCCUUCAUAUAAUUCACUCAAGGGGAUAUAAAACAACAAAAAGUAUUCACAAAUGCAAUUUCUUUGGACGUGCUUGCUUGAAAAUACAAGGAAAACUGACAAACAUCCGAAGCAAUUGCUUAAAGUACUUUGAUUCUUAGCAAAGCACUUCACCUCUGACUUCCCAGAAUUGAUUGUCAGGAGGAAACUAACAAAACACUUCAAAUAUGAUCCUAGCAACUAAAGAUUUACAGUUUACUAAUCUAAACAUUAUAUACUCGGUAGCGGUACCAGCAAAUUAUAAAUGUCCUCUUUUCCCCAAACCAGCUCUCUCAUUUUCCACAGGCAAUAUAUUAUGUUGCCCUCUCCCUUUCCCCCCUGCUCUCUGGAGGAGGGGCCCGGUCACCUCCACCCUUGUUCCUCAUUGCUAAAUCUAAUGACCUAGAUAAGGUGCCAUAAGCGGGCAUUUGGUUUUGAAGACUGUUGCUUUUAUAUCAGACAAGAAUAAGGGCUUUUAUACCUCGAAACUUGUUUGUGCGCAACUGUAUGAGCUGAUAGUCCCACAAACUUUGCCUCAUUUUCAUUCAUAAGGCAAACAAGUGUUGAGCUGUUAAUAUAUAGUGAAAGAUAUUUUUUUACUUCUUUAGGACAAGCAGCAUGCUUUAGUGACGUUUCUCAGUUAUCUGCAGGUCACUAGUCUGCAGUUCAAGCUGGUUUCUGUACGUUUUUUCAUGUGCUUGAACAUCUAAGGCACUGUAUUCCAGCCAUAGCUAGAGUUUUGUACCUCUUUUGGUCUAAACACUAAAGAAAAUUAAGACUUUUACCUUUUCGUCUUCAUAGCAUUGAGAUGUGCACUUAACUGAGUCUCACAAGAAAAUGUAAACACGGUACAGAAACUCCUCAGAUGUGGGGUUGAUAUUCCCCAGCCAUUCACUAAACCUUCCAGUAGAGAACUCUCCUCCCUCCCCACCAACAUCUCUGAGAUGAAAAAAUUGCCUGAAGACAAAUUUUUCUCCUUUUAUGGAUUGGAUAAUGGGAUCCAUCCAGGUUGUGAAACUCCGGAGCAGCUGAGACUAGUGUAGCUGUCU